UUAUAUUURAUAUAUUUAUGGUUAUUGGGGUAGUAUUAGWAAGUUCUUGAAACCCAAAGAAUUUGGCGGUGUUUUAGUCUUUUCAGAGGAAUCUGUCCUGUAAUUGAUAAUACACGAUUUGUUUUACUUAAUUUUGUUAUCAGUUUAUAUACCGCCGUCAUAAGAUUAUUUUUAUUUAAGGAUGGAAUUUUCUUAUUUUUUUAUUAUACAAUAUGUCAGGUCAAGGUGUAGCUUAUAAUUAAGAAGAGAUGGAUUACAAUAAUGUUAAUUAUUAUGGAUUAUUAAUUUUAAAUUUAAUUUGAAGGUGGAUUUGAUUGUAAAUUUAUUUUUAAUUUUUAUGUUGAUUGGAGCUCUAAAAUGUGCACAUAUCGCCCGUCGCUCUCGUUAUUAAGAUGAG
rnacentral:rRNA from 1 species